AUGGCGGCUCAGGCUGAGACCAUUGAGGUUCCCUCGGACGCUGAGCUGCUGCAGGCACAGGCUGACCUGUGGCGCCACAGCCUCUAUUACCUCACCUCAAUGGCGCUCCGAUGCGCCGUCGAGCUUGAGAUCCCGACGGCCAUCCACCGCCUCGGCGGGGUCGCAUCGCUGCCCGACCUGAUGGCCGCGCUGUCCCUUCCCUCGGUUAAGAUGCCGUUCCUUGGCCGGGUCAUGCGUGUGCUCAUCAACUCGGGCGUCUUCGCCGCCGACAACGACUGCGAGUCCGGCGUGGAGCUCUACCGCCUCACCCCGCUGUCCCGCGUUCUGGUGCAUGGCGUCGUGGCGGACGAGCACCAUAGCCAAAAGUAUUUCGUGCUUGGUGUCACCUCGCCGCACUACACGGAGGUGGCGCUGGGGCUGGCCAACUGGUUCAAGAAAGACAUCGAGCCACCGGUGCCGUCACCUUUCGAGGAGAAGUUCGGUGUGCCACUCUUUGAUGAGAAAACUGCCCUCCUCGACGAAGAGCUUGACUCGGUUUCCAACCAAGGUUUGGCUGCCCACGACAACCUUGGGAUCGCCACCAUACUACGUGAGUGCGGUGACAUCUUCAAGGGGCUCGAGUCCCUGACUGACUGCUGUGGUGGUGAUGGUACGACGGCGAGGGCCCUCGUCAAGGCUUACCCUCACAUUAAGUGCACUGUUUUAGACCUUCCGAAGGUGAUCGACAAAGCCCCAACUGAUGGUGUCAUUAACUAUAUUGCGGGUGACCUGUUCCACACUGUGCCACCAUCUCAAGCCGUGAUGCUCAAGCUUGUGCUACACUUUUGGAGCGACGAGGACUGUGUGAAAAUCCUGGCCCAGUGCAGAAAGGCCAUUCCUCCACGUGAGGAGGGAGGAAAGGUGAUAAUCAUAGAGAUUGUGGUUGGACCUUCCUUAGGGCCAGUAAUGUUUGAAGCCCAACUCCUGAUGGAUAUGCUCAUGAUGGUAAACACGAGGGGUGGCCAACGUGAUGAAAACCACUGGUCCGAGCUAUUCAAGAAAGCCGGAUUCACGGACUACAAAAUUGUGAAGAAAUUGGGAGCUCGAUCCGUCAUCGAGGUCUACCCGUAA
rnacentral:rRNA from 1 species